UUACCAUGCAGUCGAACGAUGAACCACUUUCGGGUGGGGAUUAGUGGCGAACGGGUGAGUAACACGUGGGCAAUCUGCCCUUCACUCUGGGACAAGCCCUGGAAACGGGGUCUAAUACCGGAUACUGACCUGCCAAGGCAUCUUGGCGGGUCGAAAGCUCCGGCGGUGAAGGAUGAGCCCGCGGCCUAUCAGCUUGUUGGUGAGGUAAUGGCUCACCAAGGCGACGACGGGUAGCCGGCCUGAGAGGGCGACCGGCCACACUGGGACUGAGACACGGCCCAGACUCCUACGGGAGGCAGCAGUGGGGAAUAUUGCACAAUGGGCGAAAGCCUGAUGCAGCGACGCCGCGUGAGGGAUGACGGCCUUCGGGUUGUAAACCUCUUUCAGCAGGGAAGAAGCGAAAGUGACGGUACCUGCAGAAGAAGCGCCGGCUAACUACGUGCCAGCAGCCGCGGUAAUACGUAGGGCGCAAGCGUUGUCCGGAAUUAUUGGGCGUAAAGAGCUCGUAGGCGGCUUGUCACGUCGGUUGUGAAAGCCCGGGGCUUAACCCCGGGUCUGCAGUCGAUACGGGCAGGCUAGAGUUCGGUAGGGGAGAUCGGAAUUCCUGGUGUAGCGGUGAAAUGCGCAGAUAUCAGGAGGAACACCGGUGGCGAAGGCGGAUCUCUGGGCCGAUACUGACGCUGAGGA
rnacentral:rRNA from 1 species